ACUAACUGUGUACGCAGGUCAUCACGUCUGUCUAACACAAGCGGAACGCUUAUGUGGCGACACAGAAGGUCGCCGGUUCAAAUCCGGCGUCAAGUA